GCGAACGCAUGUGCACGAGCUCUUAAAUAAAUCGCGGAGUUCGUCGAGAAGGAGCUCGGGCUCGGCCGACGAGACUGGAUGGAAGCCUCGCAGUGUUUAUACUCUCGACUCUUGUUUUUGUUUGCCCGCCCAAGGUGGCCCGAUCCGCUCGCGAAAUUCCCACGGUCGGAUUCUAACCUAGUUUAGGGGGCCCUCGGAGAGAUGCGAGCCGCGCGCACUUUAUAGGGAGUCGUCCACUGGUCCGACGAGCAGGAGUCGCGAGCCAGCAAGGAGAUUCGAGCCGCUAGAGAGAGGAGACGCAGGGAGUUCCUUGGCCGAAGUGAAAUUGUACCAGCUGUACGAGCCAGUAAUGUCCGUCCCUUCAUCGUCCUCUAAAGGGAUAAGUGGAGAGCAGCCCGGAGGAACGAGUCCUAGUCCUGUAGAAGGCGUAGAAGGAGUAGAAUGCGUGCCCGGUCCCAGUUCUUCCAACCCCGUCCAAUGCAUGCUGCCACAGGACGAGGAGUCGGAAGAGUACGGAGAAGAGGCAGAUGAGGAUGAGAGCAGCGAGGCUGAAAGCGAAAUCAGUGAUAAUGGUAUGUUUGGUGACGUCGAGUGCGAAGGAGAAAUUGAAAGCAAUGAGUGCAGGCCUCCUGCCGUACAAUCGCACCCACCACUGCCGCAGCGAGUUCAAAGUCCUAUUUUGCACACCUGUGUUCCUCUCGAUGUAGUCCAGCCUCAAAGAAAGCGCAAGAGUGAAACCGAGUCCAGUUUACCUUGUAAAAAGCUUAUUCCAGAAAAUAAGAGCAUACCCGUAAUGACUGUAAAAAAGGCAGAUGAUAAGGGAAAGCACGUUAGAUGCAUCAUACCGACUAGAGAUAACCCUCCGCCUGAGAUGAGUACCUGGCUCUUGCAAUUUCAGAAGUGGUCGAAUGCAGAGAGGAUGCUAGCAAUCGAUGAACUGAUCGAGAGAUGCGAGCCGACGCAGGUGCGCCACAUGAUGCAAGUGAUCGAGCCUCAGUUUCAAAGGGACUUCAUUUCUUUGCUCCCUAAAGAACUAGCCUUGUCAGUGUUAGCAUUUUUAGAACCUAGAGACUUACUGCGAGCAGCACAAACGUGUCGGAAUUGGCGUUUUCUCGCCGACGAUAACUUGCUGUGGAAGGAGAAGUGCAGAGCUGCGGGUAUAGAGGAUCUGAAGGACCUGCCGCCAUUAAAGAGGAAAAACUGCAGGAACUCUGGAAGUUGCUCGUCUCCGUGGAAGCAGGCCUACAUGCGACAGCAUAACAUCAAGAUGAACUGGAGGACGAAGCCUAUCCGGCCCCCGAAGGUCCUCAAGGGUCACGAUGACCACGUGAUCACUUGCCUUCAGUUCUCCGGGAACCGAAUAGUCAGUGGGUCUGACGAUAACACACUCAAAGUGUGGUCUGCAGUGACAGGGAAGUGCUUGCGGACGUUGGUGGGACACACCGGGGGAGUGUGGUCUUCGCAGAUGUCGGGCACUACGGUGAUCAGUGGGAGUACGGACCGAACUCUAAAAGUGUGGAACGCGGAGACCGGACAGUGUAUCCAUACAUUAUACGGUCACACCUCAACGGUGAGGUGUAUGCAUUUGCACGGGGAUAAAGUCGUCAGUGGCAGCAGGGACGCUACACUGAGGGUGUGGCAAGUCGAUACCGGGGAAUGUUUGCACGUGCUCGUGGGACAUAUGGCUGCUGUCAGGUGCGUGCAAUAUGACGGAAAGUUAGUGGUUAGCGGGGCUUACGACUUCAUGGUCAAGGUGUGGAAUCCUGAGAGGGAGGAGUGUCUUCACACGCUGCAGGGACACACCAAUCGGGUCUAUUCUCUUCAAUUCGACGGUGUUCACGUUGUCAGUGGGUCGCUGGACACGAGUAUAAGGGUCUGGGAGGUGGAGACCGGGGUGUGUCGGCACACGCUGAUGGGUCACCAGUCCCUGACCUCGGGGAUGGAGUUGCGCAACAACAUCCUGGUGUCGGGGAACGCGGACUCUACGGUUAAGGUCUGGGACAUCGUCAGUGGUCACUGCCUGCAGACUCUUUCUGGCCCUAACAAGCACCAGUCUGCUGUUACUUGCCUUCAGUUCAAUAGCCACUUUGUCAUCACCUCGUCGGAUGAUGGCACCGUCAAGCUCUGGGACGUUAAAACCGGCGAAUUUAUUAGGAAUCUCGUGGCAUUGGAGAGCGGUGGAAGUGGCGGCGUCGUUUGGCGUAUCAGGGCCAGCGAUACGAAGCUCGUCUGUGCCGUAGGCAGUCGCAACGGCACGGAGGAGACGAAACUCCUGGUCCUUGAUUUCGACGUCGAGGUGAAAUAGUCCAUCCUUUGGGUCGGAUCGCUCCUCCGUGUCGCUUCUGUACAUACUACGAUUAGGGUCUUAGUCCGAAAUCGUAAGGUGCAAGGAGCGCGGAAUGGAAAUCUUGUAUAUGGUGACAUGACUCCGAUUCGGCAGAACAGGCGACGUAGACUCAGACUCUGACCAUUUUGGGAUUUUUCGUGAAUGGUCGUUAAAUAGUCAGAUUCGAGGUGCCCCUUUGCAGACGUAGACAUUUCCUUUUUUAAUGAUUUUCCAUUUGCAGUAUACAUGGUCUGUGUGCUCGACGCGGAUUGACGACAAGCGAGUUAACAGCGAUCGGGGGAAACACGAGACGUAGGGAAUAUUUUAAGAGCUCGCAGGAAAGUGCACGAAGGGCGUUUACGCAUUUACCGAAAUUUUGUGCCUACUCUCCGUAAUCGAGAAAGAAAGAAAGAAAAAAAAAAAUAGAAAUCGCCCCCUGCAAACGGGGAUACUGUGUAUGUCAGCGAAAGAGGCAAUUUCAAUUACGACACUUAGGGUCUAAUUUAAAGGUUCCGUUUAAGUCGAGGAUCGACCAGACGUGUGGAGGAUACUUAAUGGUGAACGUUUCAAUGGGACUCGAGCAGAUAUGGUAUCUUCUCUUCGAAGGCAGAAUUUGGUAAAAUGAAUUCAAGUGAUUAGGGAGGAACAAUAGAAAUAUCGAGAUCAUGGAAGGACGCGAUACUGAGCCUUAUCGUCUCCUUUUCUGCUCUCUUGUAUGCUUUCCGAGGAACUUUGCGGACUGUUUCCGACACUGGUGAAAAAAUGUCUGCAGUUUCAGGUCUCGUUUAGUCCCUAUGAGAUUUCGAUCCGUUGAAUUUAUUUCUGGGAUUCCUUGCUCUUCCUUUGAUAUUUGUAUUUUGUGGGGAGAAUUUAGUUACCUUUGGACUAAUCAGUUGACUGGAAAAUUAGAGGAAUCUAGCUCUUUUCUGGGUUUUGACAAAAUGAUGGCUUCGAUGAACCAGUUGGAGGGAUUUUUUCACCAGGACAUCGUUGGUGGGCCAAGUAAGGUGGCUAUGUGGUACAAACUGUAAAGAGUGCAUUUUUAAGUAGGUGGAUGAUGCUAAUGAAUCACUGCGCAUAGAUUUAACACCGAACUGUCAUACUAUAAUUGGGCCACUGUAGCUAUGGAAGGAAAUUAUGGCGAUGUGUCGGAGAAUUAAUUAUCAUUGCUUUGACGUCGGAGAUGCUUGGGUGAUCCUUGGCAGCACGCCGAGAGAAACCGAGUCGAUGACCGUAGAGAUCCGUCAAAGGAAGUCCGUGAUGAGAAGUCGAUAUCUACAAGAAGUCUGGACUCUGCCACGGUACAAUAAUACAAGACGCAUCAUGUUCUUUGUGCAAUACUUACACAAGCCACUGUAGAUAGAUUAAAAAGAGCGCAUGGUCUGUUAAGUGGGUUUAGUAGUAAUCUGUUAAUGCUAUUUAUAUCACUAGUAUAACUUAUUAAUACGGCGAAUCCUCUGUUGACUCUCCGUUAGACCUGGA
rnacentral:misc_RNA from 1 species